CUCAUUUUAGAAACAACUGUCCUGGAUGAGGUCCAGUUGGAUGUGCCAUUGGAUGAUGUGCUAGAUGUUCCACAGCUGCCAGUCCUCCUUGAUGUCCAGAAUGCUGCUAUCAUCCUUGAGGAUGUGCCAGAUGUGCAGACUAUCCUUGAGGAGGCCACUGGCAAUUGGCAGUUGAUUCUGAUUAGGUUCAGCCCCCUGUACUGUGGGCCUGUUGUGAUCAGGAACAAUGCCGGUCCGGUGGUUAAAGCUUGGAGAACUUUCCAGUUCAUCAGCCCCAUCAUCACCUACAUGUGUGGGGGAUCCCAGCAGGUGGUGGUGAGGAUGAACCACGUGAGUAGGGUGAGAGGCCAGGAGACUCAACUGGUGUGGGCCAUCUCCAAGGAGACAGCCAGGCUUAGUCCAGAGGGCAUCCCCUACUGUGCCACCAAAGUGCAGUCCAUCACUUGGAUCCAGCGUGUGGCUGGCAGGGUGACCCACUAUGCGUCUCACCUCCGCCACGAGACGUCUGUGGACGUGACGCUUGGCUGCAACCAGGUAAAUAAACGAUUUCCUAUGUAUAUAGACUAGACAUUACUGGGCAUUUUUGCAUUAGAUUUGGUGUGUUAUCUAAUAACGUGUGUGUGUGGUAAACAGGUGUGUUGUGUGUGUUUUGAGCAGCAGACUGAUGUCUCAGUGGUGUACGCCACUCUCCACAUGGGGCUGGACGGGCUUCUCUCCUCUUCAGCGUGGUCGGAGGCUGCCUCCUUCUCUACUCCCACCACUCAGCAGUUCACUGACCCAGAGCCUGAGGGCCACAACUGCUAUGAGGUCAGACGUUACACACACAUACUAUUGACUAGGAGCAUUAAGAUCCUUCCAUUGACCGAUUGUUUGUUAUGUCAUUGCACUGGUCACUGAUUUUGAAUGCUUGUUUUGUUGUCGUAGGGCUGGGAGGAGGACCUGCUGCCUGAGGAGAGGGAGGUUCCUCUGCUAAAGUGAGUUCCUCUAAAUGUCUGUGUAGUCUGAGCUUGUCAGAUGCUGAAGGAUUGUGGUCAUAAUGCUGUUAUCCCCCAUUGACUCUAAUGGUUGACAUGCUCCAUUCCCUCCCUUUCACAGCCUCUACCUUACCACCAAGAGAGUGGAGGACAUCGCCCUGAGGCUCGUCUCCUUGCGCCAGGCCUUCACUGUGAGUGGACCCACUGUUCUUUUUGUCUCUGUGACUUCUUGUUCUCCAAGAGGAAGAUGUCUCACCCUAACUCUUCCCUCUUCCCUAGACCCUGCUUGGUUCCACCCUGAGCAGGAACCAUCUGUUUGUGGCGGGAAAGGUCCUCCUGGGCGCCCUUGUUCAGGCCAACCACAUGGUAACUCACUAACUCAUUCUCUUUCAAGGGAAAGAGAGCAUCCCUGAGGGGAAUGUGUUCUGUUCACUAAGAUGCUCUUUUCUUUGUCAUAGGACGAGGCCAAAUUCAUCCGUACCUAUAACAACUUUGUGGACUACCUGAGUGACCCCUCCAAGCGGAAUGACAUUGAGAGGGAGCUGGCUGAGGCAAAGGUGAGUUCAUUAACUCUUUCAAGUCUCACUGAGUUCUUCCACAUGCAUGUCUUUAUACAUCACAGUAGCUGAUCUAUAUGAAAUCAUUCCUAUUUUCUCCAAAUGUGUUUUCUUGUCCUAGAUCCAUCAUGUGAACAUGAUAGAUGUCCUCUUUGAGCUG
rnacentral:lncRNA from 1 species